rnacentral:rRNA from 1 species
UUCCGGUUGAUCCCGCCGGACCCGGACUGCUAUCGGAUUGAGAUUUAGCCAUGCGAGUCGAACGUCCCUCUGUUGCGGGGGGCGUGGCGUACGGCUCAGUAACACGUAGUCAACCUGCCCUGGAGACGCGAACGACCCCGGGAAACUGGGAUUAAUUCGUGAUAGGUCACCUCAUCUGGAAGGAGAGAUGGCUCAAAGGGGUGCGCGGGCUUCUUCCGCGUAUUUGCUCCAGGAUGGGACUGCGUCCGAUCAGGCUGUUGGCGGGGUAAUGGCCCACCAAACCUGUAACCGGUACGGGCCUUGAGAGAGGUGGCCCGGAGAUGGACACUGAGAGAAGGGUCCAGGUCCUACGGGGCGCAGCAGGCGCGAAACCUUCGCAAUGCGCGAAAGCGUGACGAGGUUAAUCCGAGUGACUCCCGCUGAGGGGGUCUUUUGUCAGCUGUAAAUAGGCAGGCGAAUAAGGGGAGGGCAAGCCUGGUGUCAGCCGCCGCGGUAAUACCAGCUCCUCGAGUGGUCGGGGCGAUUAUUGGGCCUAAAGCAUCCGUAGCCGGUUCCGUAGGUCCUCUGUUAAAUCCAACCGCUUAACGGUUGACCUGCAGAGGAUACCGCGGGACUAGGAGGCGGGAGAGGCGGACGGUACUCCGCGUGUAGGGGUAAAAUCCUUUGAUCCGCGGAAGACCACCAGUGGCGAAGGCGGUCCGCCAGAACGCGCUCGACGGUGAGGGAUGAAAGCUGGGGGAGCGAACCGGAUUAGAUACCCGGGUAGUCCCAGCCGUAAACGAUGCUAGCUAGAUGAUUCAUUCGCAAGUCGCGAAUGAAGUGUCGCAGGGAAGCCGUUAAGCUAACCGCCUCGGGAGUACGGUCGCAAGACUGAAACUUAAAGGAAUUGCGGGGGAACC